UAAAUGUUCUGUCUGACGUCUUUUUUUCAAUGGGUCAUGAAGUAUCUGGUUCAAACCUGGAACACAGAAGGAAGACAAAAGCUGUGUUGUUCAUGUAACAGGACAUCGACAGCAUCUGGAUUAGGAAAAAAAAAAAAAGCCAAAUAAGACACGAAGGUCCGAAAGCAACACAUUUUCUGUUGCCUUCACUGGAGUAUCAUGGCCAGAAGAAUUUGCACUGAGGAACAUCCUGCUGGACACUGGCCCAGGCUACUUUCAGCUCAGUCAGUGGAAGGAGGCAAGGAUAUCUUCUCAAUUCAACGCCCCUUCUCCUCCCUCACUUCUCAUCUGUUAUCUUGCGUCCUACUUCACGCGUAGGUGAUCCUCCAGGAUCACCUUUCCACUGCCCACAUCUCAGCUUUCUGGCUCCACAAAACUAGCAAAAGGCACGGCUCCAGCUCUUAACAAUGCUUGCACAGUUCCUUGUAUCAAACAGUGCUACUUUUCGUUCUGGUUUAGUCCAGUGGUUUCUAGGAAUAAACAUAUGCUUACCAUUUUCUCUCUCUCUCAGCAAGUUACACUGAGUAUUACGGUUGGGUGAAGACUAAGUCCUUACAGAAAUUUGAAUUAAGUGCGUAACGAGAUCAAGAUAACAAAACUCAGUGCUGCUGAGAAAGUUUGUAGGAAAAAAAAAACCAAAACAACAAAUGAAAAACCAAACCAAAAUUCCCAUAAUAU